UGGGGGGCUCUUAUUUUGGAAUUCAACAUCAGAAUGUCCUGAAACAUUGUAGUUCACACCUUGAGAAGGUGUCCUCUCCAUCUGAGGUGAAAUUGGUCUGUGGAAGCUAGGACUUUUAUUUUUAUGAUUUUCUGAAUGUGUAAACAAAACAUCUAAUAUUCGAAUUUGGGGGGCUCUUAUUUUGUAAUUCAACAUCAGAAUGUCCUGAAACAUUGUAGUUCACACCUUGAGAAGGUGUCCUCCCCACCUGAGGUGAAAUUG